UCGGGAAUUUUGGGCAAUGGGGGAAACCCUGACCCAGCAACGCCGCGUGAAGGAUGAAGUAUUUCGGUAUGUAAACUUCGAAAGAAUAGGAAGAAUAAAUGACGGUACUAUUUAUAAGGUCCGGCUAACUACGUGCCAGCAGCCGCGGUAAUACGUAGGGACCAAGCGUUGUUCGGAUUUACUGGGCGUAAAGGGCGCGUAGGCGGCAUGACAAGUCACUUGUGAAAUCUCUGGGCUUAACCCAGAACGGCCAAGUGAUACUGCCGCGCUAGAGUGCAGAAGGGGCAAUCGGAAUUCUUGGUGUAGCGGUGAAAUGCGUAGAUAUCAAGAGGAACACCUGAGGUGAAGACGGGUUGCUGGGCUGACACUGACGCUGAGGCGCGAAAGCCAGGGGAGCAAACGGGAUUAGAUACCCACGUAGUCCCUGAGCGGGCUGGCAAGGCGCAU
rnacentral:rRNA from 1 species